rnacentral:rRNA from 1 species
ACGAAGGGGGCUAGCGUUGUUCGGAUUUACUGGGCGUAAAGGGCGCGUAGGCGGCAAAUCAAGUCAUCUGUGAAAUCUCCGGGCUUAACUCGGAACUGUCAGAUGAUACUGUUUUGCUAGAGUGCGGAAGGGGCAAUCGGAAUUCUUGGUGUAGCGGUGAAAUGCGUAGAUAUCAAGAGGAACACCUGAGGUGAAGACGGGUUGCUGGGCCGACACUGACGCUGAGUGCGCGAAAGCCAGGGGAGCAAACGGGA